UGUGCCUGGUUGUGUUGUAUUUU
rnacentral:miRNA from 1 species